GACGAACGCUGGCGGCGUGCCUAAUACAUGCAAGUAGAACGCUGAAGAAAGGAGCUUGCUUCUUUUGGAUGAGUUGCGAACGGGUGAGUAACGCGUAGGUAACCUGCCUUGUAGCGGGGGAUAACUAUUGGAAACGAUAGCUAAUACCGCAUAACAGCUUUUGACACAUGUUAGAAGCUUGAAAGAUGCAAUUGCAUCGCUACGAGAAGGACCUGCGUUGUAUUAGCUAGUAGGUAGGGUAACGGCCUACCUAGGCGACGAUACAUAGCCGACCUGAGAGGGUGAUCGGCCACACUGGGACUGAGACACGGCCCAGACUCCUACGGGAGGCAGCAGUAGGGAAUUUUCGGCAAUGGGGGCAACCCUGACCGAGCAACGCCGCGUGAGUGAAGAAGGUUUUCGGAUCGUAAAGCUCUGUUGUAAGAGAAGAACGUGUGUGAGAGUGGAAUGUUCACACAGUGACGGUAACUUACCAGAAAGG
rnacentral:rRNA from 1 species